AUUGAACGCUGGCGGCGUGCUUAACACAUGCAAGUCGAUCGGUAACGCGGGGGCAACCCUGGCGACGAGAGGCGGACGGGUGAGGAACGCUUGGGAAUCUGCCUAUCAGCGGGGGACAACACGGGGAAACUCGUGCUAAUACCGCAUACGCUCUACGGAGGAAAGCCGGGGACCGCAAGGCCUGGCACUGAUAGAUGAGCCCAACCCGGAUUAGCUAGUUGGCGGGGUAACGGCCCACCAAGGCGACGAUCCGUAGCUGGUCUGAGAGGACGAUCAGCCACACUGGGACUGAGACACGGCCCAGACUCCUACGGGAGGCAGCAGUGGGGAAUAUUGGACAAUGGGGGAAACCCUGAUCCAGCGACGCCGCGUGGGUGAAGAAGGCCUGCGGGUCGUAAAGCCCUUUCGGUAGGGACGAAAGCUCUCGACCUAACACGUCGGGAGGUUGACUUAACCUACAGAAGAAGCACCGGCUAACUCUGUGCCAGCCGCCGCAGUAAUAC
rnacentral:rRNA from 1 species